GACACAAAGAUAGAACAACCAGUACCUGUCUCAAGGAAGAUCAAUACGUUUGCAGAUGAUUAAAUACAAGGUAAUUUGGGAGAACAGUAGUCACAACUGGGAGGAACAGUAAGAACUUUGUGAUGAAAGUGGUACCUGAGCCAGGCUUUGAAGGAAGGUAGGGAUUCCAAGAAGUAGAGGUAGGUGAGGGGGAUGGCAAGCCAUGCAGGGGAGAUAAUGAUCAGAAUUCUGCAUGAUACCUCUUGUCUUUAUCAGUAACGGAAAAGAACCUACCAGAGCAAGUUGUUCAUGGUCAAUGUUUGGCUGCUAACCCCCCAGCACUCCUAAGUGAGCAUGGAGGAUUCUGGAGCACAAAAUGUGUGCCCUGAUCCCAACCAAAGGUCUGGCUCAGUGGAUCAUGUUUUGAGACUCACAAUUUGAUGCUAGUGGCCCUGGGCUUGAAUCCCAGCUGUACCAGUAAUGCCCAUGUGACACUGGGCAAAUUAUUCAUCACCUCUCUGGGAUUCAGUUUCCUCUUCUGCAAAAUCAAGGCUCCUCCUCCCUCUCCAGCUGUGGCCCCGGGAUGGGCUGCGGGGGCGGCGCUCGCUAGCC